AUGGGAUUAGCUAGUAGGUGGGGUAAUGGCUCACCUAGGCGACGAUCCCUAGCUGGUCUGAGAGGAUGACCAGCCACACUGGAACUGAGACACGGUCCAGACUCCUACGGGAGGCAGCAGUGGGGAAUAUUGCACAAUGGGCGCAAGCCUGAUGCAGCCAUGCCGCGUGUAUGAAGAAGGCCUUCGGGUUGUAAAGUACUUUCAGCGAGGAGGAAGGCAUUAANGKUUAAUAACCUUAGUGAUUGACGUUACUCGCAGAAGAAGCACCGGYUAAYUCCGUGCCAGCAGCCCGCGGUAAUACGGAGGGUGCAAGCGUUUAWUCGGAAUUACUGGGCGUAAAGCGCACGCCAGGCGGUUUGUUAAGUCAGAUGUGAAAUCCCCCGGGCUCAACCUGGGNAACUGCAUUUGAAACUGGCAAGCUUGAGUCUUGUAGAGGGGGGGUAGAAUUCCAGGUGUAGCGGUGAAAUGCGUAGAGAUCUGGAGGAAUACCGGUGGCGAAGGCGGCCCCCUGGACAAAGACUGACGCUCAGGUGCGAAAGCGUGGGGAGCAAACAGGAUUAGAUACCCUGGUAGUCCACGCUGUAAACGAUGUCGACUUGGAGGUUGUUCCCUUGAGGAGUGGCUUCCGGAGCUAACGCGUUAAGUCGACCGCCUGGGGAGUACGGGCCGCAAGGUUAAAACUCAAAUGAAUUGACGGGGGGCCCGCACAAGCGGUGGAGCAUGUGGUUUAAUUCGAUGCAACGCGAAGAACCUUACCUACUCUUGACAUCCAGAGAACUUAGCAGAGAUGCUUUGGUGCCUUCGGGAACUCUGAGACAGGUGCUGCAUGGCUGUCGUCAGCUCGUGUUGUGAAAUGUUGGGUUAAGUCCCGCAACGAGCGCAACCCUUAUCCUUUGUUGCCAGCGGUUCGGUC
rnacentral:rRNA from 1 species